GAUGAAGAACGCAGUGAAAUGCGAUAAGUAAUGUGAAUUGCAGAAUUCAGUGAAUCAUCGAAUCUUUGAACGCACAUUGCGCCCGCCAGUAUUCUGGCGGGCAUGCCUGUUCGAGCGUCAUUUCAACCAUCAAGCCCCAGGCUUGUGUUGGGGGCCUGCAGCUGCUGCAGCCCCCUAAAAGCAGUGGCGGACUCGCUGUCAUACCGAGCGCAGUAGUUACAUCUCGCUCUGGGCAUGGCGGCGGGCACCUGCCGUAAAACACUCUUUCUAAGGUUGACCUCGGAUCAGGUAGGAAUACCCGCUGAACUUAAGCAUAUCAAUAAGCGGAGGA
rnacentral:misc_RNA from 1 species